rnacentral:lncRNA from 1 species
UAGCAGAAAUUAUCAGCCUCUCCAAUUCUGUCAGUUUUGGAAUGGAAAGGUGAUUCUGAUCUUAUUUAUGUGAAUCUUGAAGCAUCAAAAUAAUUCAUAUUCCUUUUUUUAGUUAGUUACUCCCAAUUUGAUAAAAUGAGUUCAUACCAUUUUGGGGAAUGAACUUACAGUCUUGCCAAUAGAGUGUCCAAGAAGAAUCGCCCCCUAGCGGACAUUUUAUACCCACUCGGAGGAUACUUGUGAGAUCUUGUCUGUCUCUCAUUUUUUUCUCUGACACACCUUACAAGUUAAAAAAAAUAAAAAGUAUUUUCAGAGCAGUCACUAAUACAUUGAUUUAAUUCUUGAAAUUUAAUUCUUGAAAUUUACUAUCUUCGGAUAGAUCAGAUAGUGUUUUGAUGAAGUUAUCUAAAACAAAUACUGGUGAAAUACAGACUAGACACCACAUACAUCUGGAUUUUACUCUGAUUUCUUUUUUUUUUUUCAGGGACAAGGGCCUGCUAUGUAUCUAUUUCCAUGUCAAGAAAGCCAUGACAGCUUUGGUGACCAAGAAUGUGGGAUCUUUUGAGGAACCUUAAUUUCAGCAGAGGGCUGGAAACAGAUCUUUGUUUUGAGAGUGAAGAGGCAGUCUGGAUACUAAUAGAAUCAUUACAGGCCAAUGUGUAUAAUGUGCCGGCACUUUACAAAAGAACUUUGAACAACCAGGGGAAGCAACAGAAUACAUUGUCAAACUGUGCACUAAAAAUAAAGUUUAACAGUAACUCAAAAGCCAAAGUGUUCUCAUGUCUGUAAUGGAUUUCCCUGUCAAUUCAGUACCCUGGGCCCCUUACUGCAGUAGCAGUAAGUACAAUUUAUUAAUCAAUUGAAGGGUGAGAAAGACCAUUGCUAACAAUGUAUCUUAAAGGAUAAAUUAUAUAUAUUUAGUGUCAAGCAAAUUCUAAUGUCUUUACAUGUUGUAAUUCAACUCAUUGAGUCUUUAUUGGUAUCUCCACAAAGAAAGAAUCAAGCAAAAAAUGUAGAAAGAUAUUCCCAUGUUUCAAAGAAUAAGAAGAGCAAACACUUUGCAUGAAUAUCUGGGUAUACGAAAUACUUAUAAAUGAAUUUUUAAUGGAUGCAUUUUCAGUAUGAUCUAUGUAUGUAUGUAUGUAUGUAUGUAUGUAUGUAUAUUUCCACUUAAAUACUCAUGAUUUUUGAGUGAAUCAUCCAAGUGUAUUAAAAAUCCUUAAGGCCAGGCAUGGUGGCUCAAGUCUGUAAUCCCAGCAAUCUGAGAGGCCAAGGUGGGCAGAUCACAAGAUCGGGAGAUUGAGACCAUCCUGGAUAACACCAUGCUGAAACCCCAUCUCUACCAAAAAUACAAAAACUUAGCCAGGCAUGGUGGCAUGUACCUGUAGUUCCAGUUACUCGGGAGGCUGAGGCAGGAGAAUCACUUGAACUCAGGAGGCAGAGGUUGCAGUGAGCUGAGAUCGAGCCACUGCACUCCAGCCUGAGUGACAAAGAAAGACUGUCUCAAAAACAAAAUAAAACAAAACAAGCAAAAACACCCUUAUUCAGAGGUCAGAAGAUUCAGGUUUAAGCUCUAACCCUGACAACAACCACAAACUUUUGAAAUAGCCUGUUGAUCUCCGCAUAGCUCACCUUCCACCUAUGCCAGGCUUUCCUGGAACUUUCAGUAGUAUUCCCCAAAACAAGUCUGGUUUACUACUUGAAGUGCUAGAAACCACCAAACAUAAAUGUAACCCGUUUCUUGCACUCUUUCCUAUUUUCCCCUGUGACUAUGAAAGUACUGUCCUCUGUGUUAUUUUCCCAUUGCUACAUGACAAAUGAGCACAUAAAUAAAGGCUUAAAAACAACAAAACUCCUUAUUGUCUCUAAGUUUCCCUGUGUUGGAAUUUCUGGGAUGUCUAGCUAGGUCCUCUGCUUCAGAAUCUCACUGGUCUCCCUCAAGUAAAAUGUUGUCUGGUGCUGAAUUUUUACCGCCAGUUCCAAGUUCAUACAGUUUGUUGGAAUUAAUUCCUUGUGGCUAAAAUGACUGUGGGCCUAAGCUUUUUGCUGGCUGUUGAUGUGAUGCAAGGGGCCACUUUCGACUCCUGGAGGUUGGCUACAGUUCCUUGCUAUGUGGUCCUCUUGAUACGAUCGCUGUAUCAGAAAAUCUUACUCUUUCACAGCCACCAGUG